UGCCAGCCGCCGCGGUAAUACGGAGGAUGCAAGCGUUAUCCGGAAUCACUGGGUUUAAAGGGUGCGUAGGCGGAUAGAUAAGUCAGAGGUGAAAGCUCACAGCUUAACUGUGGAACUGCCUUUGAUACUGUUUAUCUUGAAUUAUGUUGAGGUUAGCGGAAUGUGACAUGUAGCGGUGAAAUGCAUAGAUAUGUCAUAGAACACCAAUUGCGAAGGCAGCUAGCUAGGCAUAUAUUGACGCUGAUGAACGAAAGCUAGGGUAUCAAACGGGAUUAGAUA
rnacentral:rRNA from 1 species